ensembl:snRNA U6 U6 spliceosomal RNA
GUGUGCUUCAGCUGCACAUAUACUAAAAUGAUUAGCAUGGCCCCAUGCAAGGAUGACACUCAAAUUCGUGAAAUAGUCCAUAUUUUA